rnacentral:lncRNA from 1 species
CAAGUUGGUAGUUACGCUUAGCCCUCGCGCGCUUACUCCUUGGUCAUCCUCCAUUGAUGGGCCAAAUAUAUGAUCAAUGAGGGUACCUCAGGCCCAUAUUUCUGACACUUAGCUAAUCCUUUGUAGCCAUUAAAAGAACAAAAUGGUAUUGAAUUAUCUACAUUCCCAACAAAACUCUUACAAACCAAAUUGAUUGCAAAAUUUUAUAGUGCUAAGCGUAUGCAUUAUAUAUACAUUACCUAAUUUAUAGUUUUCAAUAUAAGGUCUUGUAACAGCACCACUAAUUUCCGCCC